rnacentral:rRNA from 1 species
UACAGAGGGUGCGAACGUUGUUCGGAAUCACUGGGCUUAAAGGGCGCGUAGGCGGUCUGCCAAGUCCGGGGUGAAAGCCUCCAGCUUAACUGGAGAAGUGCCCUGGAUACUGGCGGACUCGAGCGAGGCAGGGGUCGUGGGAACUUCCGGUGGAGCGGUGAAAUGCGUUGAUAUCGGAAGGAACGCCGGUGGCGAAAGCGCACGACUGGUCCUCUUCUGACGCUGAGGCGCGAAAGCCAGGGGAGCAAACGGG